GUGCUCACUUCGGCAGCCCAUAUACUAAAAUUGGAAGGGUACAGAGAAGAUUAGCAUGGUGUCUGUGCAAGGAUACCAUUAAAAUCUGUGAAGUGUUCCAUUAUUUU